UGGGCCAAAACCUCACAGGGCACCGAGGGUUUCCGGAGGGUGGAAGACCAGGGGACGGUAAGGGAGGAAAAGUAACAGGUAGAAAAAGUUGGAGAAGCCAGGCUCUUCGGUCUUUGUGUAUCAGUAUGCAGCCAGGCAGCUUCAAGAAAAGCUAAAAGAAACGACUGAGGCAGAAGACCCAGCCAGCACGAAAAUGACGGCAGGGCUCGCACGCCGAUUUCCAUCGUAACGCUCAGGGCCACGCUGUGACCUUCGUGGAAGGAAGUUGGAGGAUUCUGUCGCUUCCCUGGAAAGGCAACUCCGCGCGGGCUCGGGGAAGAGCGACGCGGCCGGCGGCGGCUAUGGCGGGGCAUCUCCCAGGCUCACAUUUCCGCUCCCGAGCCGGGGACGCGGGCCGGGACCGCAGCACCUUCCGGGCCGGGAGUUCAAGGAAAACCCUGAAUACAGUGAAGGACGGGAGGAGAUGGAAACCACAAGAGCAAAGGGAAUGGAAAGAAGACAUGGUUCAACAUUGUUCCAGAAAAGCGGGGCUGGUGUAGUGUUUCCAUGAUCCUUGAUGCCAUGAUGGAAAAGCGCUUGACAAUCGGCUGUCUACCAGAAUGCCAAUGUGUCCCAUUCCGCAGAGUGGUGAUAUCAGACGAAUCGACUCUCCUGACAGAGGCUGUAUUUCCAGCUCCCUUUCCAUCUAGUUGUGGCUGCAUGGUUGGCUUUUGCCACUGAGUGAGAGCAGAAAUUAUAUGUGUAAGUUGAUGGUGGGCAGGUUGAGAGGUAGUUGUAUGGCUUCUCCAUACUUUCGUCCUUGGUCUGCUAGUUAGAAGCAGAGGCCUAAGAUAACAGAGCCACAAGAUGGAAGAGAAAUAAGAGUCCCUGAAUCUCUGCAUAGAAGAAUGCUGCCCCCAACCAGGAGCAUCUGCACUGUUCUGUUACAGUAGGGAGAAGUGAGCUUUGAUGCUGUUAAGUCACUCAAAUGUGGGGGCUUACUUACUACAUCUGCUACAGCUACCCUAAGUAAUACACUUCCCUUCUUCUUUUCUCUUUGCUUUGAAUUUUAUUUUAUUUCAAUUUUUUUUUAGAGACAGGAUCUUGCUAUGUUGCCCAGGCUGGUCUUGAACUCAUGAACUCAAGUGAUCCUCCCACCUUAGCCUCCCAAAGUGCUGGGAUUAUAUGCCCGAAUCACUGCACCUGGCCAUCUCUCCUGUUUUCUAACAGAACCUCAGUGUUAUUGAGGGGUCCACCCAACCUCUGUUGAGCCAUCUGCCUCAAGGGAGACUGGCUGAAUCUCUAGUCCCGGUGGGUGAUUCUGAGUGCCCUAUACCUGGGCACUAUGGGGUUCUAAACUUCAAUUCUUCUGAAUUUUAUUUCUUGUCACUGAUUGGCUUAAGCACAAAUAUACAAGGAAAUUCUAGCUAAUGAGAUGAGAGGAAAGGUCUUCUGGGAGGGAUUCUUAGAAAGGUCUUCUUUUUCUCACCUAUAAUCCCAGCACUUUGGGAGGCUGAGGCGGGUGGAUCACGAGGUCAAGCAAUCGAGACCAUCCUGGUCAACAUGGUAAAACCCCGUCUCUACUAAAAAUACAAAAAUUAGCUGGGCAUGGUGGCAUGUGCCUGUAAUCCCAGCUACUCGGAAGGCUGAGGACGGAGAAUUGCUUGAACCCAGGAGGCGGAGGUUAUGGUGAGCCGGGAUCGCGCCAUUGCACUCCAGCCUGGGUAACAAGAGCGAAACUCUGUCUCAAAAAAAAAAAAAAAAAAAGAAAGGUCUUCUUUUUCUUAUGUUAAUGUAGCUGCUCUAGCUUUCUUAAGGUAAUCACUUUUUAAACAAUUGUUUUUGCCUUCUUUUUUAUUUUUAGCUUUAUUUAGGUAUAAUAUACAUAUGAUAAAAUUUACCAAUUUAAGCAUAGAAAUUGAUGAGUUUUGACAAAUGUAGACAGUCAUAUAACAACCACCACAAUUACCAUAAAGAAUAUUUCUAUUUCCCCCAAAACUUCUCUGUGCCCUUUGUAGUCAGUUUCCUCCCUCCAUACCCAGUCCCUGGCAACAUGUGAUCUGCUUUCUAUUACUCUAAUUUUGCCUCUUCUAAAAUUUCAUAGGAACUGGAUCCUACAGAUAUAUGGCUUUUUUCAGGUAGCAUAAUGCUUUUGAGAUUCACCCACAUGGUUGCCUGUGUCAGGGAAUCGUUCCUUUCUGGUGCUGAAAAGCAUUCCACUGCGUAGUUACAACACGUUUGUUUAUCCACUCACCAGUUGAGGCAUGUUUGGGUUAUUUCCAGUUUAGCCUAUUAUAAAUGAAGGUAUUAUGAACAUUUACAAGCACAUUUUUGACUAUGACUAUUAUAUUGUUGAGUAUCUAGAUUUUGCUGUCUUCCUUUAAAGAGUGAUGAGCUUUGCAGGCCAGGCGUGGUGGCUCACACCUGUAAUCCCAGCACUUUGGCAGGCCAAGGCAGGCGGAUCACCUGAGGUCAGGAGUUCAAGACCAGCCCGACCAACAUGGAGAAACCUCACCUCUAAUAAAAAUACAAAAUUAGCCAGGCGUGGUCAUGCAUGCCUGUAAUCCCAGCUACUCAGGAAGCUGAGGCAGGAGAAUCGCUUGAACCUGGGAGGCAGAGGUUGUGGUGAGCUGAGAUUGAGCCGUUGCACUCCAGCCUGGGUAAAAGGAGUGAAAAUCCAUCUCAAAAAACAAAAACAAAAAAACAGUGAUGAGCUUUGCAUGGGUAGUUACCUUUAUAUCGGCUUAUUUUGAGGAUUCUUUUUAAGCUGGGUUAAGGCAGAUAGCCUUUCCUCUAGGGCUGGUGUAAUCUUACUACUAAGGCGCAAUCUUUCUGGGGUCUCUACUGAAUACCCAGGUAUUCAGUGAAAACUCUCCACCUAACCUGACUAGAAUACUAACAGUUAUCACUCCUGCGUGAACACUGGGAAUUGUCCAGCUCAUAGAUCUUCAAUGAUUAUUUUAUUGCCAGUUCUU